rnacentral:rRNA from 1 species
GACGAAGGAUGCAAGCGUUAUCCGGAUUCAUUGGGUUUAAAGGGCGCGUAGGUGGCCUUAUAAGUCAGUGGUGAAAUCUCUGGGCUUAACCCAGAAAUUGCCAUUGAUACUGUAGGGCUUGAGUAUAGUUGCCGUUGGCGGAAUAUGACAUGUAGUGGUGAAAUACAUAGAGAUGUCAUAGAACACCGAUUGCGAAGGCAGCUGACGAAACUAUAACUGACACUGAGGCUCGAAAGUGUGGGGAUCAAACAGG